rnacentral:ncRNA from 1 species
UAUCCGCAGCAGGUCUCCAAGGUGAAGAGCCUCUAGUCGAUAGAAUAAUGUAGGUAAGGGAAGUCGGCAAAUUGGAUCCGUAACUUCGGAAUAAGGAUUGGCUCUGAGGACCGGGGCGUGUCGGGUUUGGACGGGAAGCGGAUGCGGCCGGUGCCGGGUCUGGUCGAUGUUCGUGCGUUAUGUUCGUUUUAGCGAGUUAGUAUUUUAAUAUAAUGCGGCCUCAAAAACUGUAUAUAUUUAAUAUGACACUCGCGAAAAUCGUCUUACGUUUCGGACUGGAUCCGGACCCGCGUUCUCCGGCCUUCCGCGGAUCUUCCUAGCCGUAAGGUCGUGUCGGUUUCGUUUCGUGCGCGAUCGGCACGAUUCUGUACGACCGCCGUUCAACGGUCAGCUCAGAACUGGCACGGACAAGGGGAAUCCGACUGUCUAAUUAAAACAAAGCAUUGCGAUGGCCCUCGCGGGUGUUGACGCAAUGUGAUUUCUGCCCAGUGCUCUGAAUGUCAACGUGAAGAAAUUCAAGCAAGCGCGGGUAAACGGCGGGAGUAACUAUGACUCUCUUAGGGGCGAUACGCAUAAUUUUAAUUUUUCGAUUCAAAUCCAGUCGUCUUAAUCUGGUGACCAGUGGCGCGGUCACCAGUAUAGUGCACAGGACGUGAAUGGCUCCGAGGCUGGCGGAGUCACUCACUAUAAGUGUGAGAGACGAUGUCCUGUGCCAAGUAUACGUCCAACCCUAACGGGUUAAGUGAAAUUAGUUGCUCAUAACAGGGACGGUGUACCUGUUGCUCGUGGCUGGCUAUCGAAU